rfam:Cavia porcellus supercont2_14 genomic scaffold, whole genome shotgun sequence.
GGGGAUUUAGCUCAGCGGCAUAAGCACCUGUCUUGCAAGUAGGCAGUUGUGAGUUCGAUCCCCAGUACCCA